GUUUAAGACGAAGACGUUGAUAGGCUGGGUGUGUAAGCGUAGCGAUACGUUGAGCUAACCAGUACUAAUGAACCGUGAGGCUUAACCUG
rnacentral:rRNA from 1 species